AUUGAACGCUGGCGGCAUGCCUUACACAUGCCAGUCGAACGGCAGCACGGGUGCUUGCACCUGGUGGCGAGUGGCGAACGGGUGAGUAAUACAUCGGAACAUGUCCUGUAGUGGGGGAUAGCCCGGCGAAAGCCGGAUUAAUACCGCAUACGAUCUACGGAUGAAAGCGGGGGACCUUCGGGUCUCGCGCUAUAGGGUUGGCCGAUGGCUGAUUAGCUAGUUGGUGGGGUAAAGGCCUACCAAGGCGACGAUCAGUAGCUGAUCUGAGAGGACGACCAGCCACACAAGGACUGAGACACGGCCCAGACUCCUACGGGAGGCAGCAGUGGGGAAUUUUGGACAAUGGGCGGAAGCCUGAUCCAGCAAUGCCGCGUGUGUGAAGAAGGCCUUCGGGUUGUAAAGCACUUUUGUCCGGAAAGAAAUCCUUGGCUCUAAUACAGUCGGGGGAUGACGGUACCGGAAGAAUAAGCACCGGCUAACUACGUG
rnacentral:rRNA from 1 species